rnacentral:rRNA from 1 species
UACGUAGGGUGCGAGCGUUGUCCGGAAUUAUUGGGCGUAAAGGGCUCGUAGGCGGUUUGUCGCGUCGGGUGUGAAAACACCGGGCUUAACUCGGUGCUUGCUUUCGAUACGGGCAGACUUGAGGCAUGCAGGGGAGAACGGAAUUCCUGGUGUAGCGGUGAAAUGCGCAGAUAUCAGGAGGAACACCGGUGGCGAAGGCGGUUCUCUGGGCAUGUUCUGACGCUGAGGAGCGAAAGUGUGGGGAGCGAACAGG